UGUGUGUGUGUGUGUGUGUAUAUCUGUAGAUGUGCUUGAAUGUUUUAAGAGUGUUUAUUUUGUGUGUGUGUGUGUGUAUAUCUGUAGAUGUGCUUGAAUGUUUUAAGAGUGUUUAUUUUGUGUGUGUGUGUGUGUAUAUCUGUAGAUGUGCUUGAAUGUUUUAAGAGUGUUUAUUUUGUGUGUGUGUGUGUAUAUCUGUAGAUGUGCUUGAAUGUUUUAAGAGUGUGUAUUUUUGUGUGUUUUUUUCCAGAUUUUUGGGAUUUGUUUGGCCCAGAACUUAGUCAGUGACAUUGAAGCUGUGCAGGCGAGCUGCCUCUUCACUUAACGCCACGUGCGGACUCCAGCAGCUGAGCCUGCGAGCAUCGUUGGACACACCCCUCAGGAGGAGGUCAGAGGUCACCACGAUGAACCAGCACUUUGUUUUUAGCACACUAACUGACCUGAGAACGUCGUUAACUUUGUAGUAACGCUCCUCUUUUGAUCGACUCCAGUUUUGAUACCUUUUGAUAUUUUUUGUCACCGUUACACUGACGCGGAUUUGGACUGAAGUACAGCUCUGCCCGGUCCGAGGUCUUGGGUUCACAUUACGAGUGCAUACUAGGGUACGCUCUAGCGCCCCUUAAUGGCCCGUUAAAUGAAGUCACUGAAUCAAGUUUUUACUAGUUUAGUUUUGUUGGUUUGUUGUGGAUAAACGGUAUUCUGCAUCCUAAUACUUACGGCCGUUUACGUGUAAAAUAACCUUCAGUUUAUCCGAACUGCUAGUUACUACUCUGUAACGUACGAGGGGUCCACGGACUCACUUUCCAACUACUGAAGGUGAAAACACUGUUCUUUAAUGAAGGAUGUGUGAGGGGGCGGGUCUAAGUCCUUAUUGGACAAGGUCGUUAUUUAGGUUUCACUGUCACGUUAACUGUGAGCGCUUUAAUAUUUGUAACAUUUUUCUAGUGACGUUAACGACAGUAACAAGUCAUUUUGAUGUCAAUUCACAAAAUUGUUAGACAUUUUUUUUUUUGUCAAACUUCUACUGAUUAUGACAAAAAAUAAGUGUAAUGUGUAUCACAGUUUUCACCGUCAGUGUUUUGAUGCCUAUCUGGAUCCACAGCGUGAGGCGGCUUUGAGCUGUAGUUUUCAUUGGAUUUGCAGCACUUUUCUUCAUUGUGAUUCCAUUGACGUUGGGUGUGAAUGGCUGCUCUUGAACCUGAUACCUGUGGUAGUGUUAGAGAAGGAUUUUGGAGGCGUCACGUUUCCUUGUUACACUAACGCUGAGUGCACACCUGAAUAAAGGAGACACAAACACU